CUGGCGGCGUGCUUACCAUGCAAUUUGAACGAUGGAGCCCAGCUUGCUGGGUUCAUUAGUGGCGAACGGGUGAGUAACACGUGAGUAACCUGCCCUUAACUCUGGGAUAAUCCCGGGAAACUGGGUCUAAUACCGGAUAGGAGCGUCCACCGCAUGGUGGGUGUUGGAAAGAUUUAUCGGUUUUGGAUGGACUCGCGGCCUAUCAGCUUGUUGGUGAGGUAAUGGCUCACCAAGGCGACGACGGGUAGCCGGCCUGAGAGGGUGACCGGCCACGCUGGGACUGAUACACGGCCCACACUCCUACGGGAGGAAGCAGUGGGGAAUAUUGCACAUUGGGCCCAACCCUGAUGCACCGACACCACGUGAGGAAUGACGGCCUUCGGGUUGUAAAUCUCUUUCAAUAGGAAAAAACCAAAUGUAGAAGUCCCUGCACAAGAUGUGCGGGCUACCUAC
rnacentral:rRNA from 1 species